AGAUUGAGGAACUGGAGAGUGUUUUUAACGUAAGGAGUGUCGCACAAGAUCAGGCGGCAGAUUGAGGAACUGGAGAGUGUUUUUAACCUAAGGAAGUGAAGAUGAAAGAAAUUGUAACAAACCAAGUUGGUGAUUUUGCAAACUUCGUAGGCUCUCACUUCUGGAACUUUCAGGAUGAGUUGCUUGGUUUGGCUUCGGAUCCUCAUUCUGAUUCUGUCUUCAAGAAUCCGGAUCUUAACAUGGAUGUGCUUUAUCGUACUGGUGAGGGACAGCAGGGUCAUUAACAAUUCAGGCCAUAAUUGUGCAUACUGGCCCUGUUUCAAUUACAAAUGGUAGCUCCCCAGGGAAGCCCGCUUAGCAAUCUGUUAUCUUUCCAACUUGGUCAAACUAUGAAAUUGUUUCCAAGUAUUCACAGAAGGAUUGGCUCUCAAGCUAUGAAACAUUGACAAGCUAUGUGUCGUGUUGCAGACAAUUUUAGAACUAGUGCACGGGAAAAAGGAUUCCAACUGCGGAUAAAAUGAUUCCAAAGAAGCUUCUUGUAGAUUCUUCAACUGAGGGACUCAGUAAUUCCAAUGUGGUUCCUCCUGUGGGUGCAAACCCUAAUCUGAUGUAACACCAUGUGUUUCAUCUAUUUAAUAUAAACCAGGUAGUGUUAAAGUAGGUGAUAUGCAUAAUGAGUACCUGACUACUGCUUAGGAUGUUCCUUAUGCUAAUGGUGGCUAUAAUGGGUACUACUAUCCAGGUUAGUUGAUGUUGGUCAAAGAGCCUAUGCUGCUUCCCUACCCAUUUCAAUUGAUUGUAUAUGUUUAUGUUGUCUAGUAGAUAUCUUAAUGUGCUUAACAUGAUGAGGAUAUCUAAUUGUAUUGAACGUAUAAUUCAAAUAAUCAAUUUUCUUUGGUUCUGCUUGGAAGGGAAUUAUAAAUCCAUUUGUAGAGCAGGAUAUAUUCGAAGUUUCGGAAGUCAUCACCCACAACCUCAUGUUAGUCUUCUUACUGUUAUUGUCGAUUUAAACUUUGAAAA